GUAAAGCACUUUUGUCCGGAAAGAAAUCCUUGGCUCUAAUACAGUCGGGGGAUGACGGUACCGGAAGAAUAAGCACCGGCUAACUACGUGCCAGCAGCCGCGGUAAUACGUAGGGUGCAAGCGUUAAUCGGAAUUACUGGGCGUAAAGCGUGCGCAGGCGGUUUGCUAAGACCGAUGUGAAAUCCCCGGGCUCAACCUGGGAACUGCAUUGGUGACUGGCAGGCUAGAGUAUGGCAGAGGGGGGUAGAAUUCCACGUGUAGCAGUGAAAUGCGUAGAGAUGUGGAGGAAUACCGAUGGCGAAGGCAGCCCCCUGGGCCAAUACUGACGCUCAUGCACGAAAGCGUGGGGAGCAAACAGGAUUAGAUACCCUGGUAGUCCACGCCCUAAACGAUGUCAACUAGUUGUUGGGGAUUCAUUUCCUUAGUAACGUAGCCUAACGCGUGAAGUUGACCGCCUGGGGAGUACGGUCGCAAGAUUAAAACUCAAAGGAAUUGACGGGGACCCGNCACAAGCGGUGGAUGAUGUGCAUUACUCCAUGCAACGCNAAAAACCUUACCUACCCUUGACAUGGUCGGAAUCCUGCCGAGAGGCGGGAGUGCUCNAAAGAGAACCC
rnacentral:rRNA from 1 species